rnacentral:lncRNA from 1 species
UGUGAACCCCAUUUUGUCCCCUUGCAGAGUUAAUCCUCGAUUUUGUUCGUCCUGAUCGACGACGGGUAUUCUCUUCUGUGGUUUUCUACCCAGUAACCGGUAGAUGUAAUCCCCUCUUUGUUGGUUAUCCUUCAUUCUUGUAUCCCUCUAGUUUGUUCCUAUAUUGACUCCUUUCUUGUUAUUUUCCCCUGCACUUCCCUGUGGUUCAGGUGACCAAU